GUUACAAUGUGUUUAACAGGUGCUCAAUAAAUCAUUGAGCUAAAAAGGGAAGGCCGUUAAAAUCGGCCGCGGUCCCGCCGCUGUAACUGUGCUGAUCUUCCAAUGAAAUUUUAUAGGAUGAUCAGUACGGCCAUGACUUCCUGAUAGAUAAACGAUUGGUUGUUUAAUAGAAAGUCAUGGCUGGGGACAAAUCUUGCAAACCACUGAGGAAUCGGUAACGAGGACUUGGGAAGGGCAAGAGGAGAAUGAUCCAGAAGCCAGAAGACCUACCUGUAUGAGUUCGUUUUA
rnacentral:ncRNA from 2 species